GAGGUAUCAGAAGUGCGAAUGCUGACAUAAGUAACGAUAAAGCGGGUGAAAAGCCCGCUCGCCGGAAGACCAAGGGUUCCUGUCCAACGUUAAUCGGGGCAGGGUGAGUCGACCCCUAAGGCGAGGCCGAAAGGCGUAGUCGAUGGGAAACAGGUUAAUAUUCCUGUACUUGGUGUUACUGCGAAGGGGGGACGGAGAAGGCUAUGUUGGCCGGGCGACGGUUGUCCCGGUUUAAGCGUGUAGGCUGAUUUUCCAGGUAAAUCCGGAAAAUCAAGGCUGAGGCGUGAUGACGAGGCACUACGGUGCUGAAGCAACAAAUGCCCUGCUUCCAGGAAAAGCCUCUAAGCAUCAGGUAACAUCAAAUCGUACCCCAAACCGACACAGGUGGUCAGGUAGAGAAUACCAAGGCGCUUGAGAGAACUCGGGUGAAGGAACUAGGCAAAAUGGUGCCGUAACUUCGGGAGAAGGCACGCUGAUAUGUAGGUGAAGUCCCUCGCGGAUGGAGCUGAAAUCAGUCGAAGAUACCAGCUGGCUGCAACUGUUUAUUAAAAACACAGCACUGUGCAAACACGAAAGUGGACGUAUACGGUGUGACGCCUGCCCGGUGCCGGAAGGUUAAUUGAUGGGGUUAGCGCAAGCGAAGCUCUUGAUCGAAGCCCCGGUAAACGGCGGCCGUAACUAUAACGGUCCUAAGGUAGCGAAAUUCCUUGUCGGGUAAGUUCCGACCUGCACGAAUGGCGUAAUGAUGGCCAGGCUGUCUCCACCCGAGACUCAGUGAAAUUGAACUCGCUGUGAAGAUGCAGUGUACCCGCGGCAAGACGGAAAGACCCCGUGAACCUUUACUAUAGCUUGACACUGAACAUUGAGCCUUGAUGUGUAGGAUAGGUGGGAGGCUUUGAAGUGUGGACGCCAGUCUGCAUGGAGCCGACCUUGAAAUACCACCCUUUAAUGUUUGAUGUUCUAACGUUGGCCCCUGAUCGGGGUUGCGGACAGUGUCUGGUGGGUAGUUUGACUGGGGCGGUCUCCUCCUAAAGAGUAACGGAGGAGCACGAAGGUUGGCUAAUCCUGGUCGGACAUCAGGAGGUUAGUGCAAUGGCAUAAGCCAGCUUGACUGCGAGCGUGACGGCGCGAGCAGGUGCGAAAGCAGGUCAUAGUGAUCCGGUGGUUCUGAAUGGAAGGGCCAUCGCUCAACGGAUAAAAGGUACUCCGGGGAUAACAGGCUGAUACCGCCCAAGAGUUCAUAUCGACGGCGGUGUUUGGCACCUCGAUGUCGGCUCAUCACAUCCUGGGGCUGAAGUAGGUCCCAAGGGUAUGGCUGUUCGCCAUUUAAAGUGGUACGCGAGCUGGGUUUAGAACGUCGUGAGACAGUUCGGUCCCUAUCUGCCGUGGGCGCUGGAGAACUGAGGGGGGCUGCUCCUAGUACGAGAGGACCGGAGUGGACGCAUCACUGGUGUUCGGGUUGUCAUGCCAAUGGCACUGCCCGGUAGCUAAAUGCGGAAGAGAUAAGUGCUGAAAGCAUCUAAGCACGAAACUUGCCCCGAGAUGAGUUCUCCCUGACUCCCUGAGAGUCCUGAAGGAACGUUGAAGACGACGACGUUGAUAGGCCGGGUGUGUAAGCGCAGCGAUGCGUUGAGCUAACCGGUACUAAUGAACCGUGAGGCUUAACCUU
rnacentral:rRNA from 1 species